rnacentral:rRNA from 1 species
AGAACGAACGCUGGCGGCAGGCCUAACACAUGCAAGUCGAACGCCGUAGCAAUACGGAGUGGCAGACGGGUGAGUAACACGUGGGAACGUACCCUUCGGUUCGGAAUAACUCAGGGAAACUUGUGCUAAUACCGGAUACGUCCGAAAGGAGAAAGAUUUAUCGCCGAGGGAUCGGCCCGCGUCUGAUUAGCUAGUUGGUGAGGUAACGGCUCACCAAGGCGACGAUCAGUAGCUGGUCUGAGAGGAUGAUCAGCCACAUUGGGACUGAGACACGGCCCAAACUCCUACGGGAGGCAGCAGUGGGGAAUAUUGGACAAUGGGCGCGAAGCCUGAUCCAGCCAUGCCGCGUGAGUGAUGAAGGCCCUAGGGUUGUAAAGCUCUUUUACCUGGGAAGAUAAUGACGGUACCAGGAGAAUAAGCCCGGCUAACUUCGUGCCAGCAGCCGC